rnacentral:rRNA from 1 species
GAUGAACGCUGGCGGCGUGCCUAACACAUGCAAGUCGAGCGGGGUUGAGGCGAGAGGUAACUCGAACUUCUACCUAGCGGCGGACGGGUGAGUAACGCGUGGGCAACCUGCCUCAAGGUUUGGGAUAACAGCCCGAAAGGGCUGCUAAUACCGGAUAUGCCUAUGGCCUCGCAUGGGGCUAUGAGCAAAGGGGAAACCCGCCUUGAGAUGGGCCCGCGUCCCAUCAGCUAGUUGGUGAGGUGAAGGCUCACCAAGGCGACGACGGGUAGCCGGCCUGAGAGGGUGACCGGCCACACUGGGACUGAGACACGGCCCAGACUCCUACGGGGGGCAGCAGUGGGGAAUCUUGCACAAUGGGCGAAAGCCUGAUGCAGCGACGCCGCGUGAGCGAAGAAGGCCUUCGGGUUGUAAAGCUCUGUCUGGAGGGACGAAGGAAGUGACGGUACCUCCGGAGGAAGCCACGGCUAACUACGUG